GCGGAUGUGGUGCAUGGUGCACCGCUGCUUUUCAUUGCGAAAGUAGGAACAAGUUGAAGCAGCUGUAGGGGUUCGACUCCCCACGUCCGCA